rnacentral:misc_RNA from 1 species
AAGUCGUAACAAGGUAACCGUAGGUGAACCUGCGGUUGGAUCAUUACAGAAAAUGUUUUUAACAAACAUACACAUUGUGCACUGUUUUUGUCUCUGGCGGCGGGGCAGCUAUGACUUCACACCCAUAGUUGUCUGUCAGUCUUGGUGUAACAGCCAUGGCCGUGGACAAACCGCCAAUGUCAAACCACUUAUAUUUUUUUAAACGUCUAAUAUUGAAGUUAUUCGUAUAUAAUUAUACAAACAACUUUUGGCAACGGAUCUCUUGGCUCUC